ACUUCCGCUGCGGAAGCCGCUGCUGCAUGUAAACAAAGCGGAGUUAGCAGCAGCUGCUCUGAUGGACACAGACCAACCUUAAUCGGAUAGCCGGUGACUGAGGUUCAGUUUGUUCGUGUGUGUGAUGGAGCUCCGCGGUGACUGAACCGGAACCGGCAACAUGUCCAUGGAAGACCCGUUCUUCGUCGUCAAAGGGGUCUGCAUCCUUCGGAGGACGCGGCCUACGCAGCUAUUUUGUUUAUUUAAUUUACUUUUUGUAAGAGGAAGAGGAGAGGCGGCUCCAGCGACACUGGCAGCUCGUUUAUCUCCGGCUGGGAGAGAGCCGUGGGGAGACCAGGCCCCUGUACUGCAGAAUAAACCUGGCUGUUCUGGUGCUGCAAAACGUCUUUAAUCAUGGUGACACAAGGCAAGAUUUCAGGCCGAGCAGAUUCCCUGGAGGUGCUGCCGGACACGUUUUACAUAAUUUUAUAUUUGUUCUCUAUAAAUAGUGAUUUCUACUGAUCUUUUGUAAAUAGUUGUACAUGUUAAGAAUGCCCACUUGUAAACUUGUAAAUAAUUAGAAAUGUUCAGAUUGUAUCUUUGUAAAUACUUGGUUAUCAAAGCAAAAAAAUAAAUUGUGUUGUCACUGAAGAGUA